ensembl:lncRNA
CCAACAUCAGUUUUGACUCCAUCUGUAGGACUCACAGUGGUUGUUCUGGUUCUCAUCCUCUGUCUCUCUGGACUCAUCUGGUUCAGGAAGAAGUCCUCCCAAUCAACAUGUGAUGAAGGAAACUUCAGAGACACACAAAGCCAUGGACAGACAGACUCCAGUCCUGUGUAUGACAAUGUAUCAGACAUGGUCAUGACCUCUACUGCAGCACAGACAGCAGACACAGACAACCAGGAUGACCUUCACUAUGCCAGCGUCCACUACUCUUCCACCGUCCAACUGUCUCAACCUCAGGAAGAGGAAGUCCAGUAUGCUGCUGUGAAAUUCAUUUGUCCCAGUGCUGCCACCCGGUGACUAUAUUCUGUCAUUACAUCAACAGGAUCAACCGUUGUCACACAGAGAGCAUCAAGACCGGAAACACGUGGAGUUGAGGAGGAACCCACUGUGUUGUACAGCACAGUCAACAAGACCAGAACCAAGAGGACCUGAACACAACAAGACCAGAACCAAGAUGCUCUGAACACAACAGGAUAUGAACACAACAAGACCUGACCACAACAAGACCUGAACACAACAAGACCUGACCACAACAAGACCUGAUUAGUUUAUUC